rnacentral:rRNA from 1 species
AACGUAGGACACAAGCGUUAUCCGGAGUUACUGGGCGUAAAGGGCGUGUAGGCGGACGUGUAAGUCUAUUCUGAAAGCUCCUGGCUAAACUGGGAGAGGCGAAUGGAGACUGCAUAUCUAGAGUGAGGAAGAGGAAAGUGGAAUUCCGCGUGUAGUGGUGAAAUGCGUAGAGAUGCGGAGGAACACCAGUGGCAGAAAGCGACUUCUGGUCCUUAACUGACGCUGAGG